rnacentral:tRNA from 1 species
UGGCUCAGAUAGUAGAGAAUCUGCCUGUAAUGUAGAAGACCCAGGUUCGAUCCCUGG